GAAGGUAUAGCUCAGUGGUAGAAUGCGUGCUUCGAAGGCACAAAAGGUCCUAGGUUCAAUCCCCAGUACCGCCA
rnacentral:tRNA from 1 species